GUGCCAGCAGCCGCGGUAAUACGUAGGGUGCGAGCGUUGUCCGGAAUUACUGGGCGUAAAGAGCUUGUAGGCGGUUCGUCGCGUCGAUUGUGAAAACUUGCAGCUCAACUGCAAGCUUGCAGUCGAUACGGGCGGACUAGAGUACUUCAGGGGAGACUGGAAUUCCUGGUGUAGCGGUGAAAUGCGCAGAUAUCAGGAGGAACACCGGUGGCGAAGGCGGGUCUCUGGGAAGUAACUGACGCUGAGAAGCGAAAGCGUGGGUAGCGAACAGGAUUAGAUACCCUGGUAGUCCACGCCGUAAACGGUGGGUACUAGGUGUGGGUUUCCUUCCACGGGAUCCGUGCCGUAGCUAACGCAUUAAGUACCCCGCCUGGGGAGUACGGCCGCAAGGCUAAA
rnacentral:rRNA from 1 species